rnacentral:rRNA from 1 species
AUGGGGGUCCGGUCGGCGGCCACGAAGCUGCACAUCCCCCCCGCCCACUCCGCCGCCCGGCGCUCCUUCUUCCUGCCGCUCGCCGCCGUCGCCCUCCUCUGCUCCGCCUCCUACCUCCUGGGCGCCUGGCACCACGGCGGCGGCUUCUCCCCUUCCUCCCCCUCCCGCUCCGUCACCAUUGCCACCGACAUCUCCUGCACCACCACCACCCUCACCCCCUCCACCACCACCGCCGCCGCCGCUCAGUCCCUCGACUUCUCCGCGCACCACGCGGCGGCGGUCGACGCCGUGGCGUCCAGGGCCGCGUCCUCCGCGUCCUCGGCGCCGCGGAGGUACCCGGCGUGCCCGGCCGAGUACUCGGAGUACACGCCGUGCGAGGACGUGAAGCGGUCGCUGCGCUACCCGCGGGACCGGCUGGUGUACCGGGAGCGGCACUGCCCCUCGGGGCGCGAGCGGCUGCGGUGCCUGGUGCCGGCGCCCGCCGGGUACCGCAACCCGUUCCCGUGGCCGGCCAGCCGCGACGUCGCGUGGUUCGCCAACGUGCCGCACAAGGAGCUCACCGUGGAGAAGGCGGUGCAGAACUGGAUCCGCGUGGACGGGGACAAGCUCCGGUUCCCCGGCGGCGGGACCAUGUUCCCGCACGGCGCCGACGCCUACAUCGACGACAUUGGGAAGCUCAUCCCGCUCCACGACGGCUCCAUCCGCACCGCGCUCGACACCGGCUGCGGGGUGGCGAGCUGGGGCGCGUACCUGCUGUCCCGGGACAUCCUGGCCAUGUCCUUCGCGCCGCGGGACUCGCACGAGGCGCAGGUGCAGUUCGCGCUGGAGCGCGGCGUCCCCGCCAUGAUCGGCGUCCUCGCUUCCAACCGCCUCACCUACCCGGCCCGCGCCUUCGACAUGGCGCACUGCUCCCGCUGCCUCAUCCCCUGGCACCUCUACGAUGGAUUGUACCUGAUCGAGUUGGACCGUGUCCUGCGCCCCGGCGGGUACUGGAUCCUGUCCGGGCCGCCCAUCAACUGGAAGAAGUACUGGAAGGGGUGGGAGAGGAGCAAGGAGGACCUCAACGCCGAGCAGGAGGCGAUCGAGGCGGUCGCCCGGAGCCUCUGCUGGAAGAAGAUCAAGGAGGCCGGCGACAUCGCCGUCUGGCAGAAACCCGCCAACCACGCCGGCUGCAAGGCCUCCCGCAAGGCCGCCAAGUCGCCGCCGUUCUGCUCCAAGAAAAAUGCCGACGCAGCGUGGUACGACAAGAUGGAGGCCUGCGUGACGCCACUGCCGGAGGUCUCGGACGCGAGCGAGGUGGCCGGCGGCGCGGUGAAGAAGUGGCCGCAGAGGCUCACGGCCGUGCCGCCCAGGGUCUCCCGGGGCACGGUCAAGGGCGUGACGGCCAAGGCGUUCCAGCAGGACACGGAGCUGUGGAAGAAGCGGGUCCGCCACUACAAGGCGGUGAUCAACCAGUUCGAGCAGAAAGGACGGUACCGCAACGUGCUCGACAUGAACGCCCGCCUCGGCGGCUUCGCGGCGGCGCUGGCGAGCUACCCGCUGUGGGUCAUGAACAUGGUCCCGGCCGUGGCCAAUUCCAGCGCACUCGGGGUGGUCUACGAGCGCGGCCUCAUCGGAAGCUACCAGGACUGGUGCGAGGGCACGUCCACCUAUCCGCGGACCUACGAUCUCAUCCACGCCGACUCGGUCUUCACUCUGUACAAGAGCAGGUGUGAGAUGGACACCAUUCUGCUGGAGAUGGACAGGGUCCUGAGGCCCGAGGGCACGGUGAUCAUCAGAGACGACGUGGACAUGCUGGUGAAGGUCAAGAGCGUCUCCGACCGGAUGAGGUGGGACAGCCAGAUCGUCGACCACGAAGACGGCCCGCUCGUCCGGGAGAAGAUCCUCCUGGUUGCCAAGACGUAUUGGACUGCCAAGAACCAAUAG